rnacentral:rRNA from 1 species
GAGGAAAAGAAACUAACAAGGAUUCCCUUAGUAACGGCGAGUGAACCGGGAAGAGCUCAAAUUUGUAAUCUGGCUGUCUUCGAUAGUCCGAGUUGUAAUCUAUAGACGUGUUUUCCGUGCUGGACCGUAUCUAAGUCCCUUGGAACAGGGUAUCAAAGAGGGUGAUAAUCCCGUGCUUGAUACGACCACCAGUGCUCUGUGAUACACGCUCUACGAGUCGAGUUGUUUGGGAAUGCAGCUCAAAAUGGGUGGUAAAUUCCAUCUAAAGCUAAAUAUUGGCGAGAGACCGAUAGCGAACAAGUACCGUGAGGGAAAGAUGAAAAGCACUUUGGAAAGAGAGUUAAACAGUACGUGAAAUUGUUGAAAGGGAAACGAUUGAAGUCAGUCGUGUUCUUCAGAUUCAGCUGGUUCUUCCAGUCUACUUCUGUUGAACGGGUCAACAUCAGUUUUGUCCGGUGGAUAAAGGUAGUAGGAAUGUGACUCCUCCGGGAGUGUUAUAGCCUAUUAUUGCAUACACUGGGUGAGACUGAGGACUGCAGCUCGCCUUUUGGCCGGUCUUCGGACACGUUCGAGCUUAGGAUGU